CAAGUCGAACGCGAAAGUCCCCUUCGGGGGGCAAGUAGAGUGGCGCACGGGUGAGUAACACGUAGGUAAUCUACCUUUGGAUUGGGAAUAACCACCGGAAACGGUGGCUAAUACCGAAUAAUGCAGCGGCACCUAAUGGUGACAGUUGUUAAAGCGGGGGAUCGCAAGACCUCGCGUCUGAAGAGGAGCCUGCGGCGGAUUAGCUAGUUGGUAAGGUAACGGCUUACCAAGGCGAUGAUCCGUAGCCGGCCUGAGAGGGCGGUCGGCCACACUGACACUGACAUACGGGUCAGACUCCUACGGGAGGCAGCAGUCGGGAAUUUUGGGCAAUGGGCGAAAGCCUGACCCAGCAACGCCGCGUGAAGGAUGAAAUCCUUCGGGAUGUAAACUUCGCAAGAACGGGAAGAAUAAGUAAGGGUUAAUAUCUCUUACGAUGACGGUACUGUUUGUAAGCUCCGGCUAACUCCGUGCCAGCAGCCGCGGUAAUACGGGGGGAGCAAGCGUUGUUCGGAUUUACUGGGCGUAAAGGGCGCGUAGGCGGCCACCGCAAGUCGACUGUGAAAUCUCCGGGCUUAACCCGGAAAGGUCAGCCGAUACUGCGGGGCUAGAGUGCAGAAGGGGCAACUGGAAUUCUCGGUGUAGCGGUGAAAUGCGUAGAUAUCGAGAGGAACACCUGCGGCGAAGGCGGGUUGCUGGGCUGACACUGACGCUGAAGUGCGAAAGCUAGGGGAGCGAACGGGAUUAGAUACCCCGGUAGUCCUAGCCUUAAACGAUGAAUGCUUGGUGUCUGGGGUUUUAUAGUCCCCGGGUGCCGUCGCUAACGCUUUAAGCAUUCCGCCUGGGGA
rnacentral:rRNA from 1 species